rnacentral:ncRNA from 1 species
CUGGUUGAUCCUGCCAGUAGUCAUAUGCUUGUCUCAGAGAUUAAGCCAUGCAUGUCUAAGUACAAAAAUUCAAACGGUGAAACCGCGAAUGGCUCAAUAAAUCAGCUAUGGUUCCUUGGAUCGUACAUACUACAUGGAUAACUGUGGUAAUUCUAGAGCCAAUACAUGCCACUAUGCCCUGACCCGCAAGGGAACGGGUGGAUUUAUUAGAACAGAACCAACUGGCGGUGACUUCGGUUGCUGUCGUUGCAUUCUGUGAUGACUCUGGAUAACUUUACUGAUCGCAGUCGGCCUUGUGUCGGCGACGGAUCUUUCAAAUGUCUGCCCUAUCAAUUUUCGAUGGCGGGUGACCUGCCUACCAUGGUGAUAACGGGUAACGAGGAAUCAGGGUUCGAUUCCGGAGAGGGAGCCUGAGAAACGGCUACCACUUCCAAGGAAGGCAGCAGGCGCGCAAAUUACCCAAUCCCGGCACGGGGAGGUAGUGACGAAAAAUACGGAUACGGCUCCGUAAUUCGAUGAGUACAAUUUAAAUCCCUUAACCAGGAUCAAUUGGAGGGCAAGUCUGGUGCCAGCAGCCGCGGUAAAUCCUGCUCCAGAAGCGUAUAUU